ensembl:lncRNA
GCCCAAUCAGAGCAUGCGGCAGGAGCAUUUAUCAGUUCCCGACAUUCCAGAAGGUCUUCCGUUGUUUUUGUGGAUUAAUCGGAUUUUAUUCUUCACCAUGCGCGCGAUCAUGAAGCUCCUCAUCUGCUCUAGUGCACGAUCACCUGUCUUCGCUUUAAAAGAGUUUGAGCGCUACUUCCCAACCACAAAAGACCCACGAUCUGCCAAGGAAGGGGUUCGCGACCCAUUCGUCAACAAACCAGGUGAAUCCAGCAUGUCUGUGCAAGAAGAAGAUCAACUGCUGGAGAUCUCAAAUGACGGUGGCCUUAAAAGUAUGUUCGAGACAACAACUGCCGGUGUUCUGGAUUAAUGUCAUGACAGAACACCCUGAGAUCGCCACAACAGCACUGAAAACCCCGUUGCCAUUUCCGAC